GCUGGCGGCGUGCAUAACACAUGCAAGUCGAACGAUGAAACUUGGCUGAUUUCUUCGGAAUGAAAUUAAGUGGAUUAGUGGCGAACGGGUGAGUAACACGUGAGUAACCUGCCUUACACAAGGGGAUAGCCUUUGGAAACGAAGAAUAAUACCCUAUAAAGUCAAAAUAUCGCAUGAUAAAAUGACCAAAGAUUUAUCGGUGUAAGAUGGACUUGCGUCUGAUUAGCUAGUUGGUGAGAUAAAAGCCCACCAAGGCGACGAUCAGUAGCCGGCUUGAGAGAGUGUACGGCCACAUUGGGACUGAGACACGGCCCAAACUCCUACGGGAGGCAGCAGUGGGGAAUUUUGCACAAUGGGGGAAACCCUGAUGCAGCGACGCCGCGUGAUUUAGAAGGCCUUCGGGUUGUAAAAAUCUUUUUUAUGGGAUGAAAAUGACAGUACCAUAAGAAUAAGGUCCGGCUAAAUACGUGCCAGCAGCCGCGG
rnacentral:rRNA from 1 species